UUUGUGUUUAAGGGGGAUGUCAAAAAAUUUCCUGCCUGGUUGUGUUGCACCUUGUGGUGGAUGAUCACUUGCAGUUUGGGGCCCUGUUGAGUUGGUUACCACUGAAAGAUGUGAUACAAUUGGGCUAACAUUCCUACCUUAAUUUAAUUGACAUGAUAAAAUCAUGUCAAAAGGGGGAAAUGUUAUAAUUAAGCAUGUCUCGAGCUAUCAUGUAUUCUGAAUCUGUAUUUUGCACCGAGCCUAUGAUUCUGUUUCGU